UAGACGUCUCCAUACAUAAACCUUCUCGUCAGAUUUCCGCUUCCCUUUUGUAGUAUUAUCACUCUUCGUCGUGGAUUCGUCGGCAGUGCAUGGUCAUGCUGGACAGGGAGAUAUCGGUAGCCAUUUUACGGCUGAUGUUGUAGGAACUUGGGCGAGAGACCUGGAGACCACAUCAGCUGUGUUUUCAAGUUUAAUUUGCGGUACAGUAGUGGCAAGAAAGCCGUCCAUCAUGCCAGCAUCAUCCGCAGCAGCAACAGCAGCAGCACCCCAGCCCACCGCCAUAGUCAACUGCACUGCAGAGACACCUAAAAGAUACAAUGGUGGUUGGUGUGUUGUUGCAGUGAGAAGAGAACUGGAAGCUAGCAGAAAGCCUGAGUUAACUAGCCUCAAGCCGGUGUUGGCGACUUUCGGCCAUGAAAUUCUGGCCAACAUGUCUCCGAAUCUACCAAACUUUGAAAAGAUAAUUGAAUCUGAGACACAUGAGCAUCCACCGUGUGUGUGCAUGCACAGUGUGGGCAUGUCAGUAUGUGUGUGUGUGUAUGUGUGUGUGCUGCCAAAGAGGGCUCUCUCGUCGUGCCGAUUGAAUAUGGUCCCUAAUCUCUUGGCAGACUGCCGACUUUCUGCCGUCGCUUCCAUGUUGUCGGUCCCGCAAGGGGACAGGUGA